UCCCGAUGGAACAGUGCCCUUCCCUUGAUCAGCAACAAAAGGAUGUUCCAGAAGCAUGUCAGCAGUCCAUCUUCGUUUAGGAUCUCUGACAAAACACUUGGACAGAAAAUCCUUGCCUUGUUGGGACAAUUCUUCAGGUAUUGUUGGCAAUUCAUCACCUUUCCCAAUUCUGAUCAACAAUACAAACAUAUUGGUCCCUGGUUUGCAACUCCACGGUGGUUUCCCUGUCAACAUCUCAAUAACAGCACACCCAAGAGCCCAAAUAUCAACCCCUG
rnacentral:lncRNA from 1 species